rnacentral:rRNA from 1 species
UACGUAGGGUGCAAGCGUUGUCCGGAAUUAUUGGGCGUAAAGAGCUCGUAGGCGGUCUGUCGCGUCUGCUGUAGAAAACUCGGGGCCGUUACCCCGGGCCUGCAGUGGGUACGGGCAGACUAGAGUGCGGUAGGGGAGACUGGAAUUCCUGGUGUAGCGGUGAAAUGCGUAGAUAUCUGGAGGAACACCGGUGGCGAAGGCGGCGUCCUGGACCAACACUGACACUGAGGAGCGAAAGCCAGGGGAGCAAACGGG